GCAUUGGUAGUUCAGCGGUGGCAUUCUCCCCACCUACGCGGGAGACCUGGGUUCAACUCCCGGCCAAAGCA
rnacentral:tRNA from 1 species